GGCAAGGGGUAAGCCUUAUGAAAUUUUCGAGUUGAAAAUUUUUUUGAAAUUUUUUUCUGAUUUUUUAUUCUUUUUUCAAUUUAAAACAUUAUUUGAGUGAAAAGAAACUUAUUGCAACCAAUUGGCAUUAAAAUAAAUCAAUUUAAAUUUUUUUGCAAAAUUUCUCAAAAAAAUGGCAAGGGGUAAGCCUUAUGAAAUUUUCGAGUUGAAAAUUUUUUAAAAUUUUUUUUCUGAUUUUUUAUUCUUUUUUUAAUUUAAAGCAUUAUUUGAGUGAAAAGAAACUUAUUGCAACAAAUUCCCAUCAAAAUAUAUCGCAUUUAAAAAUUUUGCUACAUUGCUCAAAAAUGAGGAAAAUUUAACAUUUUCUCAAACAGGGUAAGGAACUUGGUUCCUCGAAUAACUUCUGGCACAGACAUCUGAGGGCAUGGCUGUCCAAGAAGAAAAUGUAGCCAUUGGUGCCAUCUAUCGACCACAGGUUAAAGAUUGGCGAUCCGUUGGAUACCGACCGAGUUAUAGGCAAAAUUUGGUGCAAAAAUGAGGAAAAUUUUACAUUUUCUCAAACAGGGUAAGGGACUUGGUUCCUCGAAUAACUUCUGGCACAGACUUCUGAGGGCAUGGCUGUCCAAGAAGAAAAUGUAGCCAUUGGUGCCAUCUAUCGACCACAGGUUAAAGAUUGACGAUUCGUUGGAUACCGACCGAGUUAUAGCCAAAAUUUGGUGCAAAAAUGAGGGAAAUUUUCAUUUUUUUUUUAAUUUUUUGAUUUUUUUAUUAUUUUUCACUCUUUUUUUUAUUUCAAGCAUUAUUUGAGUGAAAAGAAACUCAUUGCAACCCAUUGGCAUUAAAAUAAAACAAUUUAAUUUUUUUUGCAAAAUUUCCCAAAAAAAUCGUAAGGGGUAAGCCUUAUGAAAUUUUCAAGUUGAAAAUUUUUUAAAAUUUUUUUCUGAUUUUUUAUUCUUUUUUUAAUUUAAAACAUUAUUUGAGUGAAAAGAAACUUAUUGCAACAAAUUCCCAUCAAAAUAUAUCGCAUUUAAAAAUUUUGCUACAUUGCUCAAAAAUGAGGAAAAUUUAACAUUUUCUCAAACAGGGUAAGGAACUUGGUUCCUCGAAUAACUUCUGGCACAGACAUCUGAGGGCAUGGCUGUCCAAGAAGAAAAUGUAGCCAUUGGUGCCAUCUAUCGACCACAGGUUAAAGAUUGACGAUUCGUUGGAUACCGACCGAGUUAUAGCCAAAAUUUGGUGCAAAAAUGAGGGAAAUUUUCAUUUUUUUUUUAAUUUUUUGAUUUUUUUAUUAUUUUUCACUCUUUUUUUUAUUUCAAGCAUUAUUUGAGUGAAAAGAAACUCAUUGCAACCCAUUGGCAUUAAAAUAAAACAAUUUAAUUUUUUUUGCAAAAUUUCCCAAAAAAAUCGUAAGGGGUAAGCCUUAUGAAAUUUUCAAGUUGAAAAUUUUUUAAAAUUUUUUUCUGAUUUUUUAUUCUUUUUUUAAUUUAAAACAUUAUUUGAGUGAAAAGAAACUUAUUGCAACAAAUUCCCAUCAAAAUAUAUCGCAUUUAAAAAUUUUGCUACAUUGCUCAAAAAUGAGGAAAAUUUAACAUUUUCUCAAACAGGGUAAGGAACUUGGUUCCUCGAAUAACUUCUGGCACAGACAUCUGAGGGCAUGGCUGUCCAAGAAGAAAAUGUAGCCAUUGGUGCCAUCUAUCGACCACAGGUUAAAGAUUGGCGAUCCGUUGGAUACCGACCGAGUUAUAGGCAAAACUUGGUGCAAAAAUGAGGAAAAUUUGACAUUUUCUCAAACAGGGUAAGGAACUUGGUUCCUCGAAUAACUUCUGGCACAGACAUCUGAGGGCAUGGAUGUCCAAGAAGAAAAUGUAGCCAUUGAUGCCAUCUAUCGACCACAGGUUAAAGAUUGGCGAUCCGUUGGAUACCGACCGAGUUAUAGGCAAAACUUGGUGCAAAAAUGAGGAAAAUUUUACAUUUUCUCAAACAGGGUAAGGAACUUGGUUCCUCGAAUAACUUCUGGCACAGACAUCUGAGGGCAUGGCCGUCCAAGAAGAAAAUGUAGCCAUUGGUGCCAUCUAUCGACCACAGGUUAAAGAUUGGCGAUCCGUUAGAUACCGACCGAGUUAUAGGCAAAACUUGGUGCAAAAAUGAGCCUUAGGAAAUUUUCAAAUUUUUAAUUUUUUUUAUUUUUUUAUUA